UACGUAGGGUCCGAGCGUUAAUCGGAAUUACUGGGCGUAAAGCGUGCGCAGGCGGUUUUGUAAGCCAGAUGUGAAAGCCCCGGGCUUAACCUGGGAAUGGCAUUUGGGACUGCAAGGCUGGAGUACGGCAGAGGGAGGUGGAAUUCCAGGUGUAGCAGUGAAAUGCGUAGAUAUCAGGAGGAACACCGAUGGCGAAGGCAGGUCUCUGGGCUGACACUGACGCUCAUGCACGAAAGCGUGGGGAGCAAACAGG
rnacentral:rRNA from 1 species